CCUACGGGUGGCUGCAGUGGGGAAUAUUGGACAAUGGGGGCAACCCUGAUCCAGCCAUGCCGCGUGUGUGAAGAAGGCCCUCGGGUUGUAAAGCACUUUCAGUGAGGAAGAACGCCUGGUGGUUAAUACCCAUCAGGAAAGACAUCACUCGCAGAAGAAGCACUGGCUAACUCCGUGCCAGCAGCCGCGGUAAUACGGAGGGUGCGAGCGUUAAUCGGAAUUACUGGGCGUAAAGCGCGCGUAGGUGGCUUGAUAAGCCGGUUGUGAAAGCCCCGGGCUCAACCUGGGAACGGCAUCCGGAACUGUCAAGCUAGAGUGCAGGAGAGGAAGGUAGAAUUCCCGGUGUAGCGGUGAAAUGCGUAGAGAUCGGGAGGAAUACCAGUGGCGAAGGCGGCCUUCUGGACUGACACUGACACUGAGGUGCGAAAGCGUGGGUAGCAAACAGGAUUAGAUACCCGGGUAGUC
rnacentral:rRNA from 1 species